rnacentral:rRNA from 1 species
UACGUAGGCAGCGAGCGUUGUUCGGAGUUACUGGGCGUAAAGGGUGCGUAGGCGGUUGUUUCAGUUUGGUGUGAAAUCUCCCGGCUCAACUGGGAGGGUGCGCCGAAUACUGAAUGACUAGAGUGCGGGAGAGGAGAGUGGAAUUCCUGGUGUAGCGGUGAAAUGCGUAGAUAUCAUUUGGAACGCCAAUGGUGAAAACAGGCAGCUGGGAGUGUGCUGACGCUGAGACACGAAAGCCAGGGGAGCGAACGGG